UACGAAGGGGACUAGCGUUGUUCGGAAUCACUGGGCGUAAAGCGCACGUAGGCGGAUGUGUCAGUCAGGGGUGAAACCCUGGAGCUCAACUCCAGAACUGCCUUUGAUACUGAAAGUCUUGAGUACGGGAGAGGUGAGUGGAACUGCGAGUGUAGAGGUGAAAUUCGUAGAUAUUCGCAAGAACACCAGUGGCGAAGGCGGCUCACUGGCCCGUAACUGACGCUGAGGCACGAAAGCGUGGGGAGCAAACAGG
rnacentral:rRNA from 1 species